UACGGAGGGAGCUAGCGUUGUUCGGAAUUACUGGGCGUAAAGCGCGCGUAGGCGGCUUUGUAAGUUAGAGGUGAAAGCCCGGGGCUCAACUCCGGAACUGCCUUUAAGACUGCAUCGCUUGAAUCCGGGAGAGGUGAGUGGAAUUCCGAGUGUAGAGGUGAAAUUCGUAGAUAUUGGGAAGAACACCGGUGGCGAAGGCGGCUCUCUGGACCGAUACUGACGCUGAGGCGCGAAAGCGUGGGGAGCAAACAGG
rnacentral:rRNA from 1 species